GAUGAAGAACGCAGCGAAAUGCGAUAAGUAAUGUGAAUUGCAGAAUUCAGUGAACCAUCGAAUCUUUGAACGCACAUUGCGCCCGCCAGCAUUCUGGCGGGCAUGCCUGUUCGAGCGUCAUUUCAACCCUCGACCUCCCUUUGGGGAAGUCGGCGUUGGGGACCGGCAGCACACCGCCGGCCCUGAAAUGGAGUGGCGGCCCGUCCGCGGCGACCUCUGCGUAGUAAACCAACUCGCACCGGAACCCCGACGUGGCCACGCCGUAAAACACCCAACUUCUGAACGUUGACCUCGAAUCAGGUAGGACUACCCGCUGAACUUAAGCAUAUCAAUAAGCGGAGGA
rnacentral:misc_RNA from 1 species